rnacentral:rRNA from 1 species
AGUGAACGCUGGCGAUAGGCCUAACACAUGCAAGUCGAACGGCAGCACAGUAAGAGCUUGCUCUUACGGGUGGCGAGUGGCGGACGGGUGAGGAAUACAUCGGAAUCUACUUUUUCGUGGGGGAUAACGUAGGGAAACUUACGCUAAUACCGCAUACGACCUACGGGUGAAAGCAGGGGAUCUUCGGACCUUGCGCGAUUGAAUGAGCCGAUGUCGGAUUAGCUAGUUGGCGGGGUAAAGGCCCACCAAGGCGACGAUCCGUAGCUGGUCUGAGAGGAUGAUCAGCCACACUGGAACUGAGACACGGUCCAGACUCCUGCGGGAGGCAGCAGUGGGGAAUAUUGGACAAUGGGCGCAAGCCUGAUCCAGCCAUACCGCGUGGGUGAAGAAGGCCUUCGGGUUGUAAAGCCCUUUUGUUGGGAAAGAAAAGCAGCAGGUUAAUACCCCGCUGUUCUGACGGUACCCAAAGAAUAAGCACCGGCUAACUUCGUG